CAGCCGCCGCGGUAAUACAGAGGGUGCGAGCGUUAAUCGGAUUUACUGGGCGUAAAGCGUGCGUAGGUGGUGGUUUAAGUCCGUUGUGAAAGCCCUGGGCUCAACCUGGGAAUUGCAGUGGAUACUGGGUCACUAGAGUGUGGUAGAGGAUAGUGGAAUUUCCGGUGUAGCAGUGAAAUGCGUAGAGAUCGGAAGGAACAUCUGUGGCGAAGGCGACUAUCUGGGCCAACACUGACACUGAGGCACGAAAGCGUGGGGAGCAAACAGGAUUAGAUACCCGUGUAGUCCCUGUCUCUUAUAA
rnacentral:rRNA from 1 species